CCCACGUGUACACAAUUCUUCUUCAAUAAAAUUUUCAACUAACCACUUAGAAGGUCCAAAUACCUUGUCAAUUAGAUGCAUCCCUUCAACAGCAAAUAUGUAAGUGUGCAGGACAUAUGACGAAAGAGCAGCAAUAUAUGAAACCCCCUACUAUAACUGCUGACCUGAAAUUGGUGCCGAAUAUUUACUGAAUCCAUCUAAGUGGCUCUCUUCCUAGAUUUCUCCUUCCAUUUGAUUAGAAAUCCGGAAAAUUGUUGGCCCAUACACUCGGCUGCCAAAUAUCCAAGGCCAAUAAUGAAGGUAUUGCCCAAAGUCUUAUGCUCAUGGAGUAACUAUAUGCAAAUUGCCAAAGAAACUGCCAUCCAAGGUGAAGAUUUGUCGUAGUUGAUCCGCAACAAUUGCCAUGCUUCCAUAAACUUCAGUUCUCCUUGGUCAAUGAGUUUCACAUUUUCUCCACCGAUGAAAGCAUGGAGAUGUGAAAUAACAAGAAAUAAACAUAUUAUAUUAGCCACUUCCAUUGAGAACGCAACACCAGUAGCAAUUCCCCACAAUCCAAUCCGCCAAUAACAAGAAAAUCCCUCCCUGAAGCCACUUCCAAUAAUGGAUAUCAUAUUUAAUGGCAGCAACAACCAUGAAUUAGAAAGAGCUUGACCUUGUCGGCACAGUAGACUCCUGCUUACAUGCCAAUGGUGCUGCAAUAGGAAUGAUGCAAAUCUUUGAAUUAGUUGUGACUUACUCCUCCCGUUAAUAAUAAGAACAAUGCAGCUACAAACUCCAUAAUUUGUGAUAUGCCCUAUCGCUGAUGGAAGAGGGCUUCGAGUUUUAUCUGGAGUCAUUAGAGUUGGUGCUUUAAAACUUUUUGGGCUGGAAAUUUCUUCGGGAGGUCUGAUCAAAUGACUCAACCAUUUCAGAUGACCCAUUGAUCCUUGUCCAGAAAAUGGGCUACUAGGAAGAGCUGGGCCGGCUAUCUUUGGUCCAAUAUCAAAUUCCCAUCUCACCUUCUUCCCCAUUGCAACUCCAGAAUUUGGGCGUUAAAUCUGUUCCAUUCCCCAAAUUGAACCUGUUUCUUUACUUUUCCUUGCCAUCUGGGACACCUCUACUCGGCAUGCUUCAAGCUAGAGCUCACAAUCCCUCUGUGCUAUCUUAGAGACGAAACCAUCGCCAUCCUCAGUCACUGGUGCUCGCUGAUGUGUGGUUGCGAGAGGUAUGGAAGAAGUUUGAACGACUUCCCUCCCAUACUCCAACAAUUCGGAUGUGAACUGGUCCCAAGACAGAAGAGUUUGCUGUUGUCGGAGCUCGCAAAACUAUUGGAGAAGAGCUCCCUCCAUGCUAUUCCAAACAAAAUAAAUUUUAACAACCUCUGUGGUUUUAUGGGUGUCAAAAGUAUUUCUCAGCCUGGACAAUCCAUCCCUUUGGGUCCACUCCUUUGAAUGUGGGAAUCUGGACCUUCGAUAUUGUUAAUGGAGUUUCAUUACAGAGCAAAGCUAUGGUUGUGGGUCUGGUGGCAGAAGAAUCAACAAUGGUGUGGCAUGUUGAGUUGGGUUGGAAAUUUUUACCUUGUCUGCCGCUGCGUUGCCUUGAAUCAAAGAGAUAAGCAUAUUCUCAAUUCUUUUGAAUCUCUGCUCUUGUUCUACUCUUAUUACUGUGAGACCUUUCAUUUUGAUAAGGUUCCUCCCUAUCUGCGCAACUCUGUCUUCUAUCUUUUCCAUUCUAUUUUCCAUUGUGUAUUUGGGAUCCAGGGGUUGAAGGGAAAAAAGUCUGUAUUGAUUUAGCAAUGGCAAAAUGCCUUUUACAACUACUGUUUCUCUAUUGCAGGAUCUCUCUCUUCCCUCUCUAAUUCUUCAUCCAUUAACACAGGAAUGGAAACUAACGAAAAGAACAAAGAAACAGAAGUUAAAUGGUUGAUAAACAACCCCCAUGACUCGUUCCCGUCCUAGCAGAGCUAGUCCCAGCUCAUAGCUGCAUAACUGAAGAAAAAUAUUGCCUGCCUCCUUCCUUCUAUCAUAUGCUUAUUUAUAAUCGAAAUAUGUUGCCUUCAUUCCCAUGUGACCUCACCCCUAAAAUUCUCUCCAAUGAUUUCCUCUAGCUGUCCAAUUCCAGAACUUCAUAUGGUUCCUGUAAAAUAUUCUUGAUGAGUUUGGGCCUUGAUUCAUUCCUCCUGGGCCUGUUGAUAUGCUUCAUGCUUUUCUAAUGGUGUAAGAGGUUUUCUGGAAUUGAUUUUCAAAGACCUCAUUGAUACUGUUGUGCUUUGUAAGUUGAAUGUAAAUAUAUAAAUGACAGAGUUCAAAAAUGGAGAGUGGGGACUGGGGACCCGAGGGUGCAAACAAGAUGCGAAAGACAGAACUGGUUUUUGGAUUCUCAGUUCCCCAGCAAGGAAUAACUUUCUUAAUAAUUUGCAGUUGAUAAUUUUAGAUCCCUAAGUAGAUCAAUUUCUGCCGUUCAGCUGCAAAAACUCUCUUGAAUGCUCUUAAUGAUCUGGUAUUGUUCAAAAUUGGGCAUAUGGGGACUUUGGGCUAAUUUGGCGCUGUGCUUCAUGAGGCUUUCUGAGGUUCUUUUCCAAAUAGCCAAUGUUCCUAAAACCAGACUUGUUAGUGAACUGGUUAGCUGACACCAUCUGACUGGUUCAAUUCAACUGGUUUGAUUUGGAAAGAAAUAAGUCGAAUCAAAUGUAAUAAAAGAGCAGGAAGAAGACUGUACAUGUGAUAGAAUUUUGAGUAAAAGAGAAUUCCCAGAGAAUCUAAUGAUUGCCAGCAUUGAAAGUGCUGGUUUUGAGCACUGCCUAAUCUUGAGAUAGCAUGAUUUCAAAUUUGCCAAGGCGAUUGAUGGCUAGGAAAAAUUUGCACUGACAAGGCAGUAACUCUCAGUACAAUGCUUCUGAUAUAUUGCCCCCUUGUGAUCUUUGGUAUAUGAACAGAGAUGGAUAUCAUCGUGCAAUCUGCUGAGUAUAAAUGCUGGGUAAUCGUCUUUGUCCAUACUUGAUGUGGAAUCAGAUGGCUCUGUUUGGUCAUUUCAAAAUUAAGGGAUUUUAUGGAGAUAGAAUGGGUGUAAAAAUUGAAAGGCUUUGCAUAAAGCAUUCCUUAUCUGCAGGGAUUGUCUCCAACUGAACUCUUAUAUGCCCAAUGUGAUUAAAUCAAAGAUAAAGAAUUGCUCCCUUGGUGGACAGGAAAGCCUGGCUAUCCUCUCUGCGCCAGUAAAUUGAAAACAAUUAGCUUGAUAAUGAAAAGUAGUAUUACUAUUUGAUUUAAA